UAUAUAGCCAAGGGAAGAGAAAACGUGUCGCUCCGCUGCCAAAUUAUCACAUAUCCCUCGAUCAGAACGGGAGGUGAUCCUAAUCAACAAGUGGUGUGACCUCGGCGCGAUGGCAAUGUCAGGUCAGCUCGGGGAGCGAGGAGACGGAUCUGAACACAAAUAUAGGGAGAGAGACGGAGAGAAAGAAAGAAACAACCAACAAUCCUUAUAAUUAUCAUCAUCUGCUGCUUUUCCCUCUUCUGGCAAAGAAACACUCCAUCCAUUUGCAGAAAUCGCCCGCGGAAACGUUACAUCAAAACUAAUCACAACGAUUAAAAUCAGCUUUUCUGUGCGAGAGGAAAGUAAAAAGCAACUUGGAGGCUGGAAUGAGACUGUUUUUUCCACCAAAAAAAAAAAAAAUCGGAAAAAAAAAUUACACUCGAGAUAUAUAUAUAUCUAUCUAUAUCUAUAUGCACGUUUCGAAGGAGAUCAAUUUAAUGCCCGUGUGAUCAGUUAAUUUAAUUUAACUUUUAUUUCGGAGAUUGAUUCAGACUGGAGGUAGAGACAUGAGCUAAUUCUUUUGUUGCUGCCCUCCGAGAAGCGCUACUUACCACAUGUCUCCGGCUGAAGCCUCCCGUUGGAGGCUGAGAACGACCCGAGAACAAACGGUUUCACGUGAGGAAGACCUUCCACGCGUGGGUCUCACUCAUGCAGAAGUGAAAAACGGGGUGACUAUCAGGGAUCGAAAAGCCACCCUUUGCCCUGCGUGAUGGGUAGAAGACCUGCGUGCGUAGGCUCUUUAUCGGAUUAAGCCAAGUUUAUGUAUGGAGCAAAUGUGAUGUGAAAGGAAAUAUUCACCGUUUAUAACAAAUGUGAGGACAUUAUUCAAAGCGGGGUCUCUUGCGGUGAACAAAAUAUCCUAUCUGCCAUUCACAGUCAGGCAGGAUUUCACAUGAGCCCAUCUGGGAAGGAAAGAUAUUUCUGCUUUCUGUACCCUGCCUUCUUCAGAAGCAUUUUCAGGAUACCGUAAAGCAGACAGAGAGGCACAGAUUGUGAUGAUGGCUCUUUGCUGCUCACUUGUUAACGUGUGCUGGUGUGUUCGAACCGCUACCGCUAAAACAGUGCAGGGUUCUUGCUUUUGUGUAACCAGACAUCAGCUGGGUUUUGGAAGGUGCCGAUGCUUCAGGGAACCCAUAGGCACCCACUUUUGCAAGCACUCCUGCAGCAAGGAUUAUCAUAGAAUCAUAGAAUGGCCUGGGUUGAAAAGGACCACAAUGAUCA
ensembl:lncRNA